rnacentral:lncRNA from 1 species
AUGUCAAUCAUAUUAUUGGUUGCAUCUUUUAUAUACUAUGCUAUUUUCUCUCUUCAUUAUUUUCCUUGUAAUUUACUAAUUUUAUCUAGUACUUCACUCUUGUUAAAAUAAAAUAAAAAAUAAAAAAAAUCUAUAGUACUUUACAUAUUGUCUCCUUGAAAUGUGAUAGGGGUCCUUUUAUUAAAGAAUGAUAGGGCCCUUUAAGCUUAAUCAGAAGACAUGAGACGAGUUUCUUUUGGUUUCUUUCUCCCAUCAAUUGAAGAGUUACUGCUGACCGUUUACCUUUGGUCAAUUUGAUUGAUGAUAUGAUACUAUAUACUGCUUCAUAUGUUUUGCAGUAGUGCUGUCACUUCACUUGAAGAGAAAUGACGAAAUAAAGGAAAAACUAAUGGCAGACAAUGUAAUUAAUAAUUCCUGUCACUAAAGUUUAUUUUUAUUUACUUACACAUUUAUAUUAGCUAUAUACAUAUAUUUACUUGUCAAUAUUAUACAUAUACACCGAUCAUAGGUAAUUCAUCUCCUUGGUUUACCAAGACUUUCAAGUAAUAGUUAUAACAUUAAUUAUCGUUU